rnacentral:rRNA from 1 species
AGUGAACGCUGGCGGUAGGCCUAACACAUGCCAGUCGAACGGCAGCACAGUAAGAGCUUGCUCUUACGGGUGGCGAGUGGCGGACGGGUGAGGAAUACAUCGGAAUCUACUUUUUCGUGGGGGAUAACGUAGGGAAACUUACGCUAAUACCGCAUACGACCUACGGGUGAAAGCAGGGGAUCUUCGGACCUUGCGCGAUUGAAUGAGCCGAUGUCGGAUUAGCUAGUUGGCGGGGUAAAGGCCCACCAAGGCGACGAUCCGUAGCUGGUCUGAGAGGAUGAUCAGCCACUCUGGAACUGAGACACGGUCCAGACUCCUACGGGAGGCAGCAGUGGGGAAUAUUGGACAAUGGGCGCAAGCCUGAUCCAGCCAUACCGCGUGGGUGAAGAAGGCCUUCGGGUUGUAAAGCCCUUUUGUUGGGAAAGAAAAGCAGCAGGUUAAUACCCCGCUGUUCUGACGGUACCCAAAGAAUAAGCACCGGCUAACUUCGU